AUACUGUUUUCGCCGUGACGUCGCCUCUUCUCCUUGCGACGCCGAGAUUCUUCUCCCCGCACGAAUGAGAAGUCGUCGACAGACGAGGAGGGAGACCGGUGCAGGUACUCCUCUUCUUCUCCUUUUUCUUUCUUCCCCUUCUCCCUCUUCUUUCUUCUCCCUCGAUCACCCCUCUUCUUUCUUCCUCUCGGUAGCAGGCGAAAACAGCCCAAUCGACAAUACCGCCCGGUAGCAGGCGGUCCGUAUACCGGUCUAUUGGUGGACCGGUUCGUAUCGCCCGGUACGGGCGGUAUUAUUCGAAAUUGAAGACCUUGAAUAUUAGUAUCAUGGAAAUGGGGCAAUGUUAUUAUGAUUUAUAGGGCUAGAUGGACCUACUAUCGAUAAUUUGGUAUCAAGCAUUGUUGUAUUAUUAGGUCAAUAAUAAUGCUGAACAAGCAGAAGGAGAUUAUUUUCAAAGAGCCUAAAACUGCUCACUUAUCACUUUAUUUAUCUCACAUUGUUCAUUUUCAUGUUUCUUUCAAUUAUCCUAUAUUGUUAAUUAGCUAGUUUUCAAAGCCUAGAUUAGCAUAAAUAAAGGUCUCCUCUAAGCCUAUGGAAUCAUCUAAAAAUAUCUUCAAGUAUUGUAAAGGUUUUCUCCAUCAUAAGGAGUUAAUUUCCUUCGUCCUCCCUUAUAAGGUCAAUUUACUAUAAUCCUUUCUAAUAGUAAUUUCUUAAUUUUGUUUCCUUUCUACACUAGUUGGUAUUAUAGUCUUGCUCUUGGUGUUAGCAUAAUAGGUUUGUGGUUAGGAAAUUAAGAAGUAUGCUCUACACUCGCCACUUAUAGUGGAUCUUGUAUAUCAAAAACUUAAUUUGCUAAGUACAAUCCUAUUACCCAUCAAUAUGAGGUUUGGUGGCAAUAAUGCGACAACUACGACGGUGUUAUCGGUGAUGGCAGUGGCAAUUUUGGUAGUGACGACAUUCGUGAUGAAGGCAAUGACAACAACCCCAAUAACAAUGAUCGAGGAGUGCUAGCCUUAUGGGUGAUGCUAGAAGUACAAUAAGCUAGGAUGACCUAGGAACUCCGAGAGAUUCGCGACAUGCUCACUAACUUGGGCUGAAGCACUAAUAAAGUUCGUGAUGGUAGGAUUAAUCGUGUCGGAGUUGAUGCUAAUCGCCAGUCUAGUCAUCAACACAAGCCUGCAAUCCAACGUAGGCAACCAGCCUAUGAAGAUGAGUAAAAUGAAGGAGAAGAAGAAGGAAUUAUGGACUGUCAUAGAACCAACCAAAAAAGAGGUGCAGGUGCAGCUCAACCUCGACACUUCAAUUGACAUGGUACUAUUCACCCACAACAACCAACAGUAUAUGAUGAUGACUUAGAAGAUGACAGUGAAAAAUACAUAAGACAUCAAGCACCAUCUAGACGAAAUAGGUUAUUUGAGGAUUAUUGCCUCAGAGUAGACCUCCCCAAUUUUAAUGGCCACCUCAGUAUUGAAGCUUUUCUUGAUUGGAAUUAUGACGUAGAGAACUUCUUCGAGGUGAUGGAUGUUCCUGAUCACAAACAAGUUAAGCUUGUUGCAUACAAGUUGAAAGGAGGUGCAACAGUUUGGUGGGAUACAUUACAGAAUAACAAAAGAAGACAAGGAAAGACACCAGUACAGACAUGGCGAAAGAUGAAGCAACUUCUUGAAGGAAGAUUCCUACCCCCAGACUAUGAACAACUAUUGUUCCAACAAUACCAAAACUACAUCCUAGGCACUCGAUCUGUAAUUGAGUAUACUAAUGAAUUCUUACGCCUUUCAGCCAGAUGUAACUUAUCAGAGUUAGAAGACCAACCGACAACAAGGUACGUCAACGAAUUGAAAUAUGCAAUUAAAGAUAGAAUGCCUUAAACUCCGAUAUGGAUAAUAGAUAAAGCUCACAAUAUGGCAUUAAAGGCAGAAAUGUUGUUGACUCGACCUCCAAUUGCUACCCGACAAUGCUCUACUCCAACAACACAACCUGGUCUUAACAAAGAGAAGCAAGUUGUGACCGAGUCAAUACAACCUGCAAAUCAAGGCACAAAUAUCAGAGGAGCAACAAAGCAAGCUAAGCAUAUCUCGACUACCACAAACAAUCCAUAUGCUCGACCCCUGGUUGGGAAAUGUUUCAAAUGUGGGGAGUCUGGUCAUCAUUCCAACGAUUGUCGUGCUCAUAAGACUGUCAACCUUACAGAUCACAAAGAUGACUUUGAAGAAGAAGGAGAUGCCCAAAAUGAUACGAUUAAUGAUAUUGACAAUGCUGAAAUAGUAGAGGAAGAAGGAGAACACGUCGCAUGUGUUGUAAAAAGAUUAUUACUCACCCAAGGCAAGAAGAUCCAUCUCAGUAUAAGAAAAUCUUUCAUUCUCAAUGUAAUGUUAAAAACAAAGUAUGCAUUGAUCAUAGACGGUGGAAGCUGUGACAACAUUAUAUCUAAAUCACUGGUGAGGCACUUAAAAUUACAGACGGAAGCUCAUCUAACACCAUACAAACUAGGGUGGAUUAAAGAAGGCCCAACUGUCACUGUAACUAAGAUAUGUAAAACUCUCUUAAUUGGAAAAAGCUACAAGGAGGAAGUUAUAUGUGAGGUAGUUGAUAUGGAUGCGUGCCAUGUGCUACUUGGAAGGCUAUGGCAAUAUGAUGUGAAUGCAACCCACUUUGGAAGGAAGAAUGUCUAUGUAUUCUGGUGGAACGGGAAGAAGAUUGCUAUUCUACCGACUAAUAGAAAGGGAGAUGAAUCUAACACUUCUAAAGUGGAGGGGAAGUCUUUCUUAUCCAAUUCUAACUCUGUGCAGGAAUUCAUUGUCAAUUCUAAAGAAACAAGAGUAUGCUAUGCUAUUAUUAUGAAAGGAGAAGAGCCACCUGAAGCAAAGAUUCCAAACGAACUAAGAUUGAUAUUGGAAGAAUUCAAAGAGAUCACUCUUGAAAGAUAGAAGCUGGAGGAUGUGCAUGGAUAGUAGAGUCAUCAACCAAAUCACGGUCAGGUAUCGGUUUCCUAUAUCUCGAUUAAAAGAUAUGUUGAAUCAACUACAAGGCUCCAAGAUAUUCUCAAAGAUUGAUCUAUGUAGCGGAUAUCAUCAAAUUUGCAUAUGGCCCGGAGACGAAUGAAAGACGACAUUCAAGACAAGAGGAGACUUAUAUGAAUGGUUAGUUAUAUCAUUUGGUUUUUCCAAUUAUAACCAUGAUGGUUACUUAUUCAAAGGUAAUAAGCUAUGCAUUCCGAGGAUGCCCUUAUGAGAAAAAAUUAUUCAAGAUUUACACAGAGGACUCAACGGACAUUUCGGGCAAGACAAAACGAUAGCAAGCAUCGAGGAGAGGUACUUUUGGCCCCAGUUAAAAAGGGAUGAUGGCAAUUUUGUAAAAAAAAGUCCAACUUGUCAAACUGCAAAGGGCCAAUGGCAGAACAUUGGUUUAUAUAUGCCACUACCAGUUCCAGAAGACGUUUGGGAGGAUUUAUACAUGGAUUUUGUAUUGGGAUUACCAAAACUCAGAGGGGAGUUGAUUUAACGCAAGUUUGCAGUUUAGUAGCAUAACUCACCUACAAACUAAUGGUCAAACAGAGGUAACUAAUAGAACUUUUGGAAACUUGAUUCGUUGUAUUUGUGGUGACAAAUCAAGACAAUGAGAUUUCACACUUGCACAAGCUAAAUUUGCAUAUAACAGUGUAAUUCAUAGUUCUAUUGUAGUGUCACCGUUUUCUAUUGUUUACAAGAAAGUGUCGAAGUAUGCUCUGAAUUUAGUUCGCCUACUAAAGACUCCUGGAAUGAGUGUAGCAGCUAACAACAUGGCUGAGCAAGUACAAUCAUCCCAAGCUGAUGUGAAGAAGUUGGAAGCUACUAAUGCCAAGUACAAGGAAGCAACUGAUAAGCAUAGGAGAGAGAAGGUGUUCAAGGAAGGGGAUAUGGUUAUGGUGUACUUGUGAAAAGAGAGAUUUCCCAUAGGCACUCAUAACAAAUUAAAGUUGAAGAAGUAUGGUCCCUAUAAAGUCUUAAAGAAAAUUAAUAACAAUGCUUAUGUGAUUGAUUUGCCAGAUGAUUGGGGUAUCUCAAAGACCUUCAAUGUUGCAGACUUAUAUGACUACUUUCCAAAUGAGAAUCCAUUGUAUUUAGAUAUAAACACAAGGACGAGUUUUUUCUCAGGUGGAGGGGAUUAAUGCGGAACAAGUAGAAGGAGACUAUUUUCAAAGAGCCUAAAGCUGCCCACUUAUCACUUUAUUUAUCCCACAUUAUUAAUUUUUAUGUUUCUUUCAAUUAUCCCACAUUGUUAGUUAGUUACUUUUCUAGUACUAGUAUAAAUGAUGACCUCCUCUAAGCCUAUGGAAUCAUAAAAAUAUGGCAAUAUCUUCAAGUAUUGUAAAUGUUUUCUCCACUAUAAGGAGUUGAUUUUCCUCAUCCUCCCUUAUAAGGUUAGUUUACUAGAAUCCUUUAUAGUAGUAAUUUCUUAAUUUUGUUUGUGUUCUACGUCAAAUCAUUAUAUCGGUUUAUAUCAGGCUGGAAGGUGACAAAGGUGUUUAUCAUAAUGUUUAUGUAAUUAUUUGAUGAUUAGCAGUAUUCAAGUAUCUGUGAAGAAGUAUAUGAAUAUAUCACAACAUAUCAAUAGCAAAACUCAAGAAAAGUUGAAUGUUUAUAAACAAUUUGAAGAUUUUUUAUGGAAUGUGUUCAAUAUUAUGCUUGUUUUGAGUCCUCCAAAAUUUUCUUUCAAAGCAUAGGAAGCUGAACUUCUUUGAUUCAUUUAUCCAUCCUUGUUUAACAUGUUUUUCACUUGUUUAUUGACUUAUUCUUUGUGUUUUCGAUGCUUUAGAAGUCUUAUAUAAUGGUGUUUGCUUUCUUCUAACAUGCAGAUAUGACUAUUCAGGAUAUGGAGCAUCUACUGGUAAGGGUACCGAAGAUGAUGUAGUGAAUUGGCUUCAUGGACAUGGUUUAUGGAAACUAGCGGAAGAACCGUACGAUCCCUUAUGGAUCAAAGGAGGAGGUCAUUGCAACCUAGAGUUAUAUCCAGACUACAUCCGUCACCUAUGCAAGUUUAUUCAGGAAAUGGAGAACCUCACGACUGCAACCCGGCUCAAGAAGAUCCGGCAAACUCUCAAACUCCCUGCCAAAGCUGUCGCAACCACCAGCACCACCACCUUCACGACCAACUGUUGCUGCCAAAUUAGAUGCAGGAA